rnacentral:tRNA from 1 species
GUGAUCAUAGUUUAACAAAAACCCUAGAUUGUGAUUCUAAAGAUAAGGGAUAACAACCUUUUGAUCACC